rnacentral:rRNA from 1 species
UAAAGCUCGAAGGUGCGGGUAUCGAACAGGAUUAGAUACCCUGGUAGUCCGCACGGUAAACGAUGGAUGCCCGCUGUUGGCGAUAUACAGCCAGUGGCCAAGCGAAAGCGUUAAGCAUCCCACCUGGGGAGUACGCCGGCAACGGUGAAACUCAAAGGAAUUGACGGGGGCCCGCACAAGCGGAGGAACAUGUGGUUUAAUUCGAUGAUACGCGAGGAACCUUACCCGGGCUUGAACUGCAGCAGAACGAUAGAGAGAUCUUGAGGCCCUUCGGGGCUGCUGUGGAGGUGCUGCAUGGUUGUCGUCAGCUCGUGCCGUGAGGUGUCGGCUUAAGUGCCAUAACGAGCGCAACCCCUUUCGCCAGUUGCCAUCAGGUGAUGCUGGGCACUCCGGCGACACUGCCACCGCAAGGUGUGAGGAAGGUGGGGAUGACGUCAAAUCAGCACGGCCCUUACGUCCGGGGCUACACACGUGUUACAAUGGGGAGUACAGAGAGUCAGGCGUUGGCAACACCGCCUUAAUCAAUAAAGCUCUCCUCAGUUCGGAUUGGGGUCUGCAACCCGACCCCAUGAAGCUGGAUUCGCUAGUAAUCGCGCAUCAG